CAGUGGCCGAGUGGAUAACGCGAUGGCGUUUGCAGCGAAAGGUACUGGGUUCGAGUCCCAGGGUGAA
rnacentral:tRNA from 1 species